rnacentral:lncRNA from 1 species
GAGUUAAAGCGCGCGGGUGCCAGCCGGGAGGUGCGGCUGGAUUCGUUUCGCUGAGGUGCGUCCCCAACCCAAGGGCACGACUGCAGUGGCCAGUUUCCGAGCCCCGCCCGGAGGGGGGCACGCGGUGGGCAUUCCGGUGUUGCAGUGAAACGAAACUUAUUUGCUAAACUUGGCCGAGCCUUAGAAGUUGAAUGCCUGCCUCAGAAAGUUGCCUCGUUCUCUGGGCUGUUUAGUUGGCUUUUUUUAGUUAGAAUAUCGGCAGCGAAAAUGAUAAAUCCCCUAAACCUUGCCGAAGUAAAAACUGGCUGCGUUUUUUUUCCUUGGCUAUGAUCAACUGGGGUGCCUUUGUUUUAAUAAUAGUCUUUUAUUAUUAUUUUAAAAAGCAGUGCUAAGUAUAUUAAUUUAGGAUAGACUUGGAAAAGAAAAGAUGAAAUUGCGCUGUCUCUGCCUAGAGAAAAACCCUGACCAUGUUGUCGUGUGUGUUUCAUUCAAUCUUUUUGUUGAGUAUAUCUGUUUUAUGAGUGCUGUACUGAUUGCAUAGGAGGUACCUGUGUUUAAAAAGCAUUUACUGAAUGAUGAUUACAAGCAAGGAGAUGUAUCAGAAGAUCCACAGAUAAUCGGAAGCUUGUCAUUGGAUCUGGAGAGAGCUGGUCCCAUGGAGGAAAAAAAGACAGGUACACACAGAUGUGUGUGAUGCCACAUUAAGAGAGAUCCCGGAUUUGGGAUCUGCAGGCUUCAAGAGGUCAUCUUCAGCUAUACGGAGAAGUUGAAGUCAGCAGCGGCUCUCCUACCUCUUGGAACCUCAGGCCAUUUUGCAAAACUUAAUAGAUCACCCUCCUUUAGAUUUAUUAGAAACCUCCAAGAAAAGGAAAUAUGGCAGCUGGUACUAAAGCAGCAGCUUUAUGUUACAUCUUUCAAACUAUAGUGCAAAUGAUGUGAUUCUGAUAAAACCUACCUCCAUCCUACCCCUCCCCUAAACCUGUUGAGAAUCCCUGACUAGGAGGAAACACUGAGCGGUUUGCUAAGGCGGAUUGCCCCUGCUAUGCAUGCUGCCCAUAGAUGGAGUGGACUUCUUUCGAGAAGCCCAGCUCCCUGACUCUGACGUGUCCAAGGAGGCUGCCAAGUGACAAAACACCUGGCAUGGGAGCCUGAGUCCUGGGUUCCCAGAGGGGCCAGGCCCCCAGAGCACACCAGUUUGGAACAAAUCGAUUUUUUCAUUAACAUUUGACCUAUGGGCAAAAUCAGACUGAAGCUUCUAGGCGGAUUUCAAGCAUUUUAGGUUUUAGGUAGGGUUUAGUUGAUAGGUAUCCUAUUAGACGACAAAGGUCAGAAAUUGUGGGGUAUUUGCCAUUUCUGUACUAAACUCCUUAAGCCCAGCAUUCCCAGUUAGCAUUUUUUUCUGCUGCUGGACACUACUGCCAACUUCUGCCCUGUGGGAUUAAGUAUAUGGAAAUACCGUUAGCAGCUGCAGUUGAAAUAGCUGCUGCUGUCAUUAUUGCCACCCAGAAGGCGGUUGGUGUCCCAGGACACUGGUGUCUUGCUCAGCCGCAGCCAGAAUUAAAAAGUAAGCAAUAGUAAGUGUGCACCCAGUGGAGGUAAGAAGGCCUGAGGGAGGGAGAUGCCAAAGAGACCCUCCAAGCUCCUCCGGGGAUCUUGGGCGUAGGCAGCACCAUUUCCCUGUGCUCCUUGCCUCUCUUGUUUCUUCCCAGACCCCCUUGUUUCUUCCCAGCCCAUCCCCACUUCCCCCGCAGGUUCUGGGCUCAUCCCUCCCUGCUCCCUCCCCUUACUGUCAACCCCCUCAUAUUUCCAGUGGAUAGGUUAACAACAAUAUUUUUGAGCGAUUACAUAUUUUUGAACAAGUUACAAAGGUAGUGUUUUUGACACUCAGGGUAAUUAAAAAAUGAAUUGUAAUAUGACUUCUAAAGUGUUUAAAGCCUAAGGAGUGGAGAAAAUUAACAUUUAUAAACCUCUACAAUGUGCCAGGGACUGUUAUGCAAUGCACUUUCAUUGUUACCUCAUUGAUAUGGUUUGGCUCUAUGUCCCCACCCAAAUUGUAAUCCCCACAUGUCAAGGGAAGGACCUGAUGAGAGGUGAUUGGAUCAUGGAGGUGGUUUUCCCUAUGCUGUUCUCAUGAUGGUAAGGGAGUUCUCAUGACAGCCAAUGGCAUUUUUUUUUUUGAGACGGGGUCUCACUCUGUUGCCCAGGCUGGAGUGCAAUGGCACAAUCUCAGCUUACUGCAACCUCUGCCUCCCGGGUUCAAGUGAUCAUCCUGCCUCAGCCUCCCAAGUAGCUGGGAUUACAGGCGCCCGCCACCACGCCUGGCUAAUUUUUGUAUUUUUAGUAGAGAUGGGGUUUCACCAUGUUGGUCAGGCUGGUCUUGAACUCCUGACCUCAGGUAAUCCACCCGCCUUGGCCUCCCAAUGUGCUGGGAUUACAGGUGUGAGCCACCACACCCGGCCGGUUUUAAAAGUGUUUGGAAGUUUCUCCUUCACGGCAUUUCUCUCCUCUCCCCUGCCGCCAUAUGAGGAAGGUCCUUGCUUCCCCUUCACCCUCUGCCAUGAUUGUAAGUUUCCUGAGGCCUCCCCAGCCAUGCGGAACUGUGAGUCCAUUAAACCUCUUUCCUUUAUAAAUUAGCUAGUCUCCAGCAGUUCUUUAUAGCAGUGUGAAAACUACUAACACACUCAUUUAAUUCUUGCAACAGCCCUGUGGGGCAGGGUUGCCAUUGUUGCUGCUCUUUAAAA